rnacentral:rRNA from 1 species
CGCCAGCGAUGGCCGCUUGCGAGGUGCUGCAUGGUGUCGUCAGCUCGUGCCGUGAGGUGUCGGGUUAAGUCCCAUAACGAGCGCAACCCCUACUGCUAGUUGCCAGCGGGUCAUGCCGGGGACGUCUAGCGGAACUGCCAGCGUAAGCUGCGAGGAAGGUGGGGAUGACGUCAAAUCAGCACGGCCCUUACGUCCAGGGCUACACACGUGUUACAAUGGCCAGUACAGAGGGCAGCCACCCGCGAGGGGGCGCUAAUCCUAAAAGCUGGUCCCAGUUCGGAUCGGAGUCUGCAACCCGACUCCGUGAAGCUGGAUUCGCUAGUAAUCGCGCAUCAGCCACGGCGCGGUGAAUACGUUCCCGGGCCUU